GGGGAAUAUUGGACAAUGGGCGCAAGCCUGAUCCAGCCAUGCCGCGUGAGUGAUGACGGCCUUAGGGUUGUAAAGCUCUUUCACCCACGACGAUAACGACGGUAGUGGGAGAAGAAGCCCCGGCUAACUUCGUGCCAGCAGCCGCGGUAAUACGAAGGGGGCUAGCGUUGUUCGGAAUCACUGGGCGUAAAGCGUACGUAGGCGGAUCGUUAAGUCAGAGGUGAAAUCCCGGAGCUCAACUUCGGAAUUGCCUUUGAUACUGGCGAUCUUGAGUUCGGGAGAGGUGAGUGGAACUGCUAGUGUAGAGGUGAAAUUUGUAGAUAUUAGCAAGAACACCAGUGGCGAAGGCGGCUCACUGGCCCGAUACUGACGCUGAGGUACGAAAGCGUGGGGAGCAAAC
rnacentral:rRNA from 1 species